rnacentral:rRNA from 1 species
GUGAACGCUGGCGGUAGGCCUAACACCUGCAAGUCGAACGGCAGCACAGUAAGAGCUUGCUCUUACGGGUGGCGAGUGGCGGACGGGUGAGGAAUACAUCGGAAUCUACUUUUUCGUGGGGGAUAACGUAGGGAAACUUACGCUAAUACCGCAUACGACCUACGGGUGAAAGCAGGGGAUCUUCGGACCUUGCGCGAUUGAAUGAGCCGAUGUCGGAUUAGCUAGUUGGCGGGGUAAAGGCCCACCAAGGCGACGAUCCGUAGCUGGUCUGAGAGGAUGAUCAGCCACACUGGAACUGAGACACGGUCCAGACUCCUACGGGAGGCAGCAGUGGGGAAUAUUGGACAAUGGGCGCAAGCCUGAUCCAGCCAUACCGCGUGGGCGAAGAAGGCCUUCGGGUUGUAAAGCCCUUUUGUUGGGAAAGAAAAGCAGCAGGUUAAUACCCCGCUGUUCUGACGGUACCCAAAGAAUAAGCACCGGCUAACUUCGUG